GCAAGUUCGUAAUUUCUUGAUUAUCCAACAAAAUAAGCAGAUAUAAUUUCAUCAUGGCUUUGCAACUAUUGACAAGACAACAAACUCCACAAAUCACACAACAACCUGAUUAAUUAAUUAAGCUUGGAAAUUAAACAACCAGUGAGGUAUCUUUUUCUCCACCUUCUUUUCUUUAAUCGUAUCCAAGCUAGGUUUCCACCCUUUCCCUGAAAGUUGCCUGCUCAAAUACUCUGGUCUAUUCUCCAAAAUCUCCGGCAACAUUAACUCCGAUUCAUUUUCCUUCCUUUCCGAAACAAACGUCGUCGUCGUCGAUGUCUGUCCCUCUUCAAUACCUCCAGCAGGGCAGAUCCUAGCAAACAAAGGCAGAAACCUCGACGAAGAUAAAAAAGACCGCGAUCUUAAAACCGAAAGAACAUGCCCAGCUUCCUCUGAAGAUAAUGACACAGGCUUCCCCCUCUUCAUGGGCAACAUUAGGUACACCUUCUUCAUGUCUAGCUUCUUAUCAGCUGGCAAUGGAGUUGGUCUCUUUUCAGACAAAUCAGAGCGGAACUCUACCACCACUUGUUGUGGGUACUCCAGCAUCAACUCAGCCACAGUUAGUGGUUUCUCAAACUCAUGAACUCUGCCAUCCCGUAGAAUUACUCUUCCGGCGGCCUUCGAAGACGGGUUUGUGAAAUAAUUUCCCAUUACUAACACAGAGAGAAUGCAUGCAAUAUUGGGAUCAUUGAGGCAUCUUAUUGAGAUAAUUGUAGGAAGUGUU
rnacentral:misc_RNA from 1 species